AGCAAUUCUGCUUACCCCUCUCUCUCUCUGUUUCUAUCUCUUCAACUAUACUACACAGCCUAUUCCACUUACACUGCUGGAGAGGUUUUUGUUCUCUUAACAAUAUUGUACAGAAAAUGAAUUAUGGUACAGGUGCCAUCACUGCUUUGCUACCAUUGGUGUUAUUAAUCCGUCAACCCUUAUGAACCAACAUAUUGUAUAGAGAUUCCGGGCAUCAUCGUAUCAGCUACUGUUGAGCCACCUUGGCCUUUUUUGGCAUAUCUAUGACAAUGUUCAGAAUUUUUCCUUGGACGUAAAUUCUCUUCCUAAUAGAUUUCCCAUCCAAAAACUUGGACAGUUUUGUAUCAAAUGAAGCUAAU
rnacentral:misc_RNA from 1 species